AGGUGCCCCACUUGUGGUCGGUUUACAGGUGGUGCAUGGUUGUCGUCAGCUCGUGUCGUGAGAUGUUGGGUUAAGUCCCGCAACGAGCGCAACCCUCGUUCUAUGUUGCCAGCACGUGAUGGUGGGGACUCAUAGGAGACUGCCGGGGUCAACUCGGAGGAAGGUGGGGACGACGUCAAAUCAUCAUGCCCCUUAUGUCUUGGGCUUCACGCAUGCUACAAUGGCCGGUACAAAGGGUUGCGAUACUGUGAGGUGGAGCUAAUCCCAAAAAGCCGGUCUCAGUUCGGAUUGGGGUCUGCAACUCGACCCCAUGAAGUCGGAGUCGCUAGUAAUCGCAGAUCAG
rnacentral:rRNA from 1 species